rnacentral:misc_RNA from 1 species
GAUGAAGAACGUAGUGAAUGCGAUACGUAAUGUGAAUUGCAGAAUUCAGUGAAUCAUCGAGUCUUUGAACGCACAUUGCGCCCCCUGGUAUUCCGGGGGGCAUGCCUGUCCGAGCGUCAUUGCUGCCCUCAAGCACGGCUUGUGUGUUGGGCCUCCGUCCUCCUCCCGGGGGACGGGCCCGAAAGGCAGCGGCGGCACCGCGUCCGGUCCUCGAGCGUAUGGGGCUUCGUCACCCGCUCUUGUAGGCCCGGCCGGCGCUUGCCGACACAUCAAUCUUUUUUCCAGGUUGACCUCGGAUCAGGUAGGGAUACCCGCUGAACUUAAGCAUAUCAAUAAGCGGAGGA